GACAGAGGUGGCAAGCGUUGUUCGGAUUCAUUGGGUGUAAAGGGCAGGUAGGCGGCCUAGCAAGUCUGGCGUGAAAUCCCAUGGCUCAACCAUGGAACUGCGUUGGAAACUGCUUGGCUUGAGUAUCGGAGAGGUAAGGGGAAUUCUCGGUGUAAGGGUGAAAUCUGUAGAUAUCGAGAGGAACACCAGUGGCGAAGGCGCCUUACUGGCCGAUUACUGACGCUGAGCUGCGAAAGCAAGGGGAGCAAACAGG
rnacentral:rRNA from 1 species